rfam:Ovis aries breed Texel chromosome 1, whole genome shotgun sequence.
UCCCUGGUGGGCUGAGUGGUAAAGAAUCUGCCCGCCAAAGCAGGAGACACAGGUUCGAUCCCUGAUCUGGGAA